AGAGGUAUCUCUUUCAGUUUUAAGGAUUCCAAGUUCUUUCUGUACUCUCAAACUCUCCUCCUCCCACCACUUUUGAAACUCCUCUUCCUGUUGUAUCUCCUCAAUUGUUUUUCUAAAAGAUGAUCUCCUCUUUUGACUCUCAAUUUCUUCUUUCUGCUCAGUCAUAAUCUCCGAAAUCGAUAAAGGUUGGCUAUUUUUUGGUAAAGAAGCAGAUCGGGGAGAUGGUUUAGUAAGUAGGUUCCAACUAGUUGGAGAACCAUUGGAAAUGCGCUUCUUCGAUUCUUGAUAAAUUACUUGAGAUGAACCUUCCUCUCGAGCUGCCUCUCUAAGAAUACCAUUAAAUGACUUUUUCACUCCAGUUGAUGACGAAAAACUGCCCCUCUGAUGUGUUGCUACAGACCAAGGGUUUGAGUGAUUCGAUUUACCCAACUCGAUAUCGAUGUGGCCAACAUUUGUUUUGGAAAUAGGCACUUGCUUUGAAAGCUCCUUUUUUUUCUCACGUUGGGAUUUUUUAGUUGGAGCUUUCAUAAAUCUAGAAUCAGACAAAACCGUAGUAGUUGAAGCAUCAGCUUUCUCUUGCUCCAGCAAUUCUCUAAGACUAGCUCUAGUAGUGUUGUUAUUAUGAGAAAGAUUUUCCCUAUUCCUCCAUGGACUCGUUUUGUCAAAAGUAAUUGUUGCAGUAACAGGUUGAUCAGC